rnacentral:rRNA from 1 species
GACGAACGCUGGCGGCGUGCUUAACACAUGCAAGUCGAACGGAAAGGCCUAGUUCGGGGGGUAGUCGAGUGGCGAACGGGUGAGUAACACGUGAGUAACCUGCCCUUGACUUUGGGAUAACUUCGGGAAACUGGGGCUAAUACCGGAUAGGAGCGCCUGCUGCAUGGUGGGGGUUGGAAAGUUUCGGCGGUUGGGGAUGGACUCGCGGCCUAUCAGCUUGUUGGUGGGGUAGUGGCUUACCAAGGCGUUGACGGGUAGCCGGCCUGAGAGGGUGACCGGCCCCAUUGGGGCUGGGAUACGGGCCAGAACUCUACCGGGGGCCGCCGUGGGGAAUAUUUGCCCAUGGGUGGAAGCCCGAUGCCAGAGACCCGGCGUCGGGAUGACGGCCCUUGGGUUGUAAACCGCUUUCGCUCAUGACGGAGCUUUGUGUGACGGUAGUUAGUAAAGAAGCACCGGCUAACUACGUG